rnacentral:rRNA from 1 species
CCUACGGGAGGCAGCAGUGAGGAAUAUUGGUCAAUGGUCGGGAGACUGAACCAGCCAAGCCGCGUGAGGGAUGAAGGUACAGAGUAUCGUAAACCUCUUUUGUCAGGGAACAAAGGCGGGGACGUGUCCCCGGAUGAGUGUACCUGAAGAAAAAGCAUCGGCUAACUCGGUGCAAGCAGCCGCGGUAAGACGGAGGAUGCGAGCGUUAUCGGGAUUUAUGGGGGUAAAAGGGUGCGCAGGCGGACGGUUAAGUCAGCGGUCAAAGCCCGGGGCUCAACCCCGGCCCGCCGUUGAAACUGGCAGUCUCGAGUUGGAGAGAGGUAUGCGGAAUGCGGGGUGUAGCGGUGAAAUGCAUAGAUAUCGCGCAGAACUCCGAUUGCGAAGGCAGCAUGCCGGCUCCACACUGACGCUGAGGCACGAAAGCGUGGGUAUCGAACAGGAUUAGAUACCCCGGUAGUC